GACGAACGCUGGCGGCGCGCUUAACACAUGCAAGUCGAACGAGCGAGCGGUGGUUUUCUUUCUCAAGCGAGUGGCGAACGGGUGAGUAACGCGUGAGGAACCUGCCCCAAAGUGGGGGGCAACAGUUGGAAACGACUGCUAAUACCGCAUAAGCGCACCACCCGCCUUCGGGUGGAGGGAAAAGGGGCGAUCUGCUGUGAGAUGGCCGCGCGUCAGAUUAGCUAGGUGGUGAGGUAAUGGCCCACCAAGGCGACGAGUGGUAGCCGUACUGAGGUGCUGAGACGCCGGGAUGGAACUGCGACACAGACCAGUAUCCUACGGGACGCAGCAGUGGGGAAUAUUACGCGCUGGAGCAAAACCUGAUGCAGCGGCGCCGCGUAGAAGAAGAAGGUGUUCGGAUUGUAAACUCCUGUUGUAGGGGAAGAUAAUGACGGUACUCAAUAAAGAAGUGACGGCUAACUACGUG
rnacentral:rRNA from 1 species